rnacentral:rRNA from 1 species
AUUGAACGCUUGCGGAAUGCUUUACACAUGCAAGUCGAACGGCAGCACGGACUUCGGUCUGGUGGCGAGUGGCGAACGGGUGAGUAACAUAUCGGAACGUAUCCAAUAAUGGGGGAUAACGAGUCGAAAGAUUCGCUAAUACCGCAUACGCCCUACGGGGGAAAGCUGGGGACCUUUGGGCCUGGCGUUAAUGGAGCGGCCGAUAUCUGAUUAGCUAGUUGGUGAGGUAAAGGCUCACCAAGGCGACGAUCAGUAGCUGGUCUGAGAGGACGACCAGCCACACUGGAACUGAGACACGGUCCAGACUCCUACGGGAGGCAGCAGUGGGGAAUUUUGGACAAUGGGCGCGAGCCUGAUCCAGCCAUUCCGCGUGAGUGAAGAAGGCCUUCGGGUUGUAAAGCUCUUUCGCAAGGGAAGAAAACUUAGCCACUAACAUUGGUUGAGGUUGACGGUACCUUGAUAAGAAGCACCGGCUAACUACGUGCCAGCCGCCGCCGUAACAC